AUGCCUGUAAUCCCAGCACUUUGGGAGGCCAAGGUGGGUGGAUUAUUUGAGAUCAGGAGUUCAAGACCAGCCUGGCCAACAUGGUGAAACCCCAUCUCUAUUAAAAAAUACAAAAAUUAACCAGGUGUGGUGUCUCACACCUGUAAUCCCAGCACUUUGGGAGGCCGAGGCAGGCAGAUCAUGAGGUCAGGAGAUCGAGACCAUCCUGGUUAACAUGGCGCCUGUAGUCCCAGCUACUCGGGACGCUGAGGCAGGAGAAUCGCUUGAACCCGGGAGGCAGAGGUUGCAGGGAACCGAGAUCACGCCACUGCACUCCAGCCUGGGCGACAGAGCGAGACUCCGUCUCAAAAAAAUAAAUAAACAAAUAAUGGAGUCCACAUGACUUUCAGAAGUGACAGGGCAGUGACCAGCAAGUGAGGCUCAGGGAAAUCCAACUUUUAUUUAGUUAGCCUGAUAUUUUUCCAGUUCAUCAAAUAUGCAUUCCCAUGGAACUUGUGGGAGUUUUCAUUCUCAUGCCCAGUUGGCUGGAGGAACGGCCAGGGUAGGUGGCAGGAGGUGAGGCAUGUUUGUGGCAGGGCCGGGCUUGAGCAAAGGUGAGGUCUGCCCUGAGCUCACUGCGAAGACUGACCUGCGUGGGUCUGCAGGUGAGUUAGGGGCCUGUGACCCGGCUGCCCAGCAGGCUCAUCCUGAUCCUACUGAAACCCGAGUCUGGGGCGCAGCCAGCCCGCGGGAGCACGAGGCAGGGCGUCUGGAUGGUGAGCUGCAUUUUUUGCUUCCUGCCUUCCUGACCAUGGCAACCACGUGGAGCAUGAGGGAGCCCGGGAGGUCGGACUGCAGUCCAGAUUAGCUCGCGGUGAAGCUGCUGACGGGCAGCAAACAGACGCUGUUGCCAGGCUCUCAGCCCUCAGUCCUCCCGGCUAAGGGAAUCCAGGUCACGUUCUGACUCGGGGAGCCUGUGCUUGCGGGAGGCCAGGCCUUAACCCAGCCUCGGCUGGGGAAGAAUUGAGUUAGUUAAGUCAAUUACGGUUAUUCACUUCCCUUUGCCGGUGAUUGGCUUUGAAAUGGGCACGUGACAUCAUUCUGACCAAUGAGAGGACGUCUGCUGUGAGGCGGGCUCUCCUGAGAAAGAAUUCUGCUGCACUUAAAGGGGCCGGUGAUGGACAUUCUACCUUUGGACCUGUGGGUGCUGCUGGUUGAGGCGAUGAUACUUGAGGGUGCUGCAGCCGCCUUGCCACGUUGAGUAGACAAAGCUGAGGUCAAGGCCAACCUGCCAAGGAUGCCAAGAGAUGAUGGGAAGAACCAGUUCCCAAGUGGUCACUGACCCACUGAGGUUAUCAACCUGGGUUUGUCUAUUUCUGGACUUUUGGUAAUAUGAGCUAAUAAAUAUCCACGUGGGUAAGCCUUUUUGAGCUGGGCUUUUUUUCUCAUGGAGGCAGCUUCCUGUUAUAGGGGACAGUGAAGAAGUCAGAGUUCAUGGCUGAAAGCACAGGCUGCAGACUUAGACAGACCUGAGUUCAGGUCCUUGCUCUGCCACCUACUUGCUGUGUGACCUUGGGCUUAGCUUCUCUGACCUUGAAUUUCUUCAUCUGCCUCCAAAUAAGGGAGAGCCCUGGCAGAAUCAUGGGAGGAACAGCGUGUGGAGCCCUCAGCACAGAGCCCAUCCCAGCAAGCAGUCAAUAAAUGUUAGCUCUCCCAAAGUUGGCAACCAGUCCUAAAGACUUCAUGCCCAGUCUCAUAGCAAAGCUCCGUAGCCCAGGAUCUUCCAAGCACAUGUUGCUUGUAGCCAUCAAGAUAUAAAAACAACCCAUGUUUGGCCCAAUCUUCUACACAUUAGGGCUUUUGAGCCUUUCCUAGGGAUACCAAUUAUGCAGCAUUUUGUGCUAGGUGGAUCUGGGAUUGUUUUAAGCUCUCUUUCAAAUGAAAGCAACACAGUCUUUUUUAAAAAGUAAAAAUAAAAUGGACUCAUCACCCAACAGUAAUGCACAUGUAUGUUCAUCAAAGAAAAUAUAGAGGGAUCCACCGCUGUAUGAUUGGUACCAGCCUGUUAUGGGGUUGAAUUUUGUCCCCCACCCAAAAAGCUGCAGUAAGUCCUGACCCCAGGACCUCGGAAUUGGCCUUAUUUGGAUGGAGGGUCUUUCCAGAAGUAACCAAGCUGAAGUGAGGUCAGUAGGGUAGACCCUAGUCCUCAUCAGAAGGGAGAACUUGGACACAAAGAAACCCACCAAGGGAAGGCGAUGUGAAGACACAGAAAGAAACGCCCACCUACAAGCCACAGAGUGAGGCCUGGAACACGUACGUCCUCCCUCCCCACACAGCCUCAGAGGGAACCAGCCCUGCUGUUGCUAUGAUCUCAGAUUUGCAGCCUCCAGAGCCGUGAGAUAAUACGUGUCCGUGCUUUAAGCCGCCCAGUCUGUGGCACUUUGUUAUGGUAGCCUGAGCAGACUAACACAGGCCCCAGGCUGGACGCAACACAGAUGCCCGUCAGGAGGUGCGCAGAUAUUCUUAAGAGGCAACAGAUACCCGCUGGAAUCCCUGGAAGCCUGGCAGCCCCCCAUGGAGCAGAGGGGGCCCUGUGCAUGAGGUCUCCUUUUCAGCCUCAAAAUCACCAACUUCUCAUCAUUAAAACUGAGAGAGAGAGAGAGAGAGAGAGAGAACACCAAAGCCUCACCGUGGAAACGCAUGAACACGAAUGAGCAGGCUGUAGCGGAAGCAUGCCAUCUACUGCCAUCUGCUUCUGGUGAGGCCUCAGGGAGCUGCCAAUCAUGGCGGAAGGUGAAGGGGAGCCAGUGCAUCACACGGCAAGAGCAGGAGCAAGAGAGGUGCCAGGCUCCUUCAAACAACCAGCUCUCCAGUGAACUAACAGAGCAAGAUCUCACUCAUCACCAAGGGGAGGGCCAAGCCAUUCGUGAGGGACAUACCUCCAUGACCCAAACACUUCCCACCAGGCCCCACUAACAACCCUGGGCAUCACAGCUCAACAUGAGAUUUGGAGGAGACUCAUCCAAACCAUAUCAAGUACCCUCCUCUCCCAGCGGCCUGCAGCCUCCCUCCUUUACAGGUUUGGAAGGGCCAAGCAGUGUCAGAAAAGCUCCUGGGACUCUGGAAGGGGAGCAGAGGGAAGGCUGGGUGGCGGGGUGCUGGAUGCUCCAGGAGGUAGUAGAACUGGCUCCAGGUCGGGGCCAUAGACAUUGAUUCAUUUAGAAAAAUGUGCUAGUCCAUGGCUUGCAAGCUCACUCCCAAGACAUUCUGGGGAUCUCUUCUUUCAAAACAUUUUCUCUAUCUUCCUUGCCAUAAACCUUCAGGUU